rnacentral:rRNA from 1 species
UACGAAGGGGGCUAGCGUUGCUCGGAAUUACUGGGCGUAAAGCGCGCGUAGGCGGUGAUCUUUGUCAGAGGUGAAAGCCUGGGGCUCAACCCCAGAAUUGCCUUUGAAACGGGAUCGCUAGAGUCCGAGAGAGGAUGGCGGAAUUCCUAGUGUAGAGGUGAAAUUCGUAGAUAUUAGGAAGAACACCGGUGGCGAAGGCGGCCAUCUGGCUCGGUACUGACGCUCAGGCGCGAAAGCGUGGGGAGCAAACAGG